CGCGGCCUAUCAGCUUGUUGGUGGGGUAAUGGCCUACCAAGGCGACGACGGGUAGCCGGCCUGAGAGGGUGACCGGCCACACUGGGACUGAGACACGGCCCAGACUCCUACGGGAGGCAGCAGUGGGGAAUAUUGGACAAUGGGCGAAAGCCUGAUCCAGCAACGCCGCGUGAGGGAUGACGGCCUUCGGGUUGUAAACCUCUUUCAGCAGGGACGAAGCGAGAGUGACGGUACCUGCAGAAGAAGCACCGGCCAACUACGUGCCAGCAGCUGCGGUAAUACGUAGGGUGCGAGCGUUGUCCGGAAUUAUUGGGCGUAAAGGGCUCGUAGGCGGUUUGUCACGUCGGGAGUGAAAACUCGGGGCUUAACCCCGAGCCUGCUUCCGAUACGGGCUGACUAGAGGUAUGCAGGGGAGAACGGAAUUCCUGGUGUAGCGGUGAAAUGCGCAGAUAUCAGGAGGAACACCGGUGGCGAAGGCGGUUCUCUGGGCAUUACCUGACGCUGAGGAGCGAAAGUGUGGGGAGCGAACAGGAUUAGAUACCCUGGUAGUCCACACCGUAAACGUUGGGCGCUAGGUGUGGGACUCAUUCCACGAGUUCCGUGCCGCAGCUAACGCAUUAAGCGCCCCGCCUGGGGAGUACGG
rnacentral:rRNA from 1 species